UGUCGUAACUGAAAGUUAUUUCGGUAAUUGGAACGUUUAGGCGUUACACAUGUGCACAAUCCUAACCUAGAUUUUAUACUGUCUUGUCCGCUGCUGAGGUGAUUCGCAUCCGUAUGAAAUGUGUUUCGAAAGCGGCGCUGAAGACGAAGAAAACAUAACCUUGCAACGGGAAUUCGCUGAAUGGCUACCGUUCAUUGCGAUCUUAACCUAUUUCGCGACCGAACAAUUCUCGAUCUAAGUGAAUUUCAAUGAGUUGCCUUUGCUACGCAUUUUGCAACGGUCUAUCUACGAAUCAGAUUGUAAAACAAGCCGGUUUCUACGUACGCAGCUCUACGAUUGGGAUUGUGAUUUCAACGUGAUUACCGCUGUAGCCAACGAUCGGUCAAGAGGUCUUCGUGAAAUCAAGAUCCUGAGUGUAGUGAAAAUUGGUGUCAGCCUUGAAUCACAAGAAUUGAAAUUAUGUAAUUUCCCACCACGCGAGAAACUGGCAUAAAAUGUGCUAGUUCGACAGCUUGACCACGUUGCGUAAUUUGAACUCGACUAUUAAGACAUUCAUUCACUGUGUAUGAAGAACACCGACUAAGAAAUUUUAGAUUUCAGUUUUACGUGGGU
rnacentral:misc_RNA from 1 species